rnacentral:rRNA from 1 species
GAUGAACGCUGGCGGCGUGCUUAACACAUGCAAGUCGAACGAAGCACCUUGAUUUGAUUCUUCGGAUGAAGAUCUUGGUGACUGAGUGGCGGACGGGUGAGUAACGCGUGGGUAACCUGCCUCAUACAGGGGGAUAACAGUUAGAAAUGACUGCUAAUACCGCAUAAGACCACAGCACCGCAUGGUGCAGGGGUAAAAACUCCGGUGGUAUGAGAUGGACCCGCGUCUGAUUAGGUAGUUGGUGGGGUAACGGCCUACCAAGCCGACGAUCAGUAGCCGACCUGAGAGGGUGACCGGCCACAUUGGGACUGAGACACGGCCCAAACUCCUACGGGAGGCAGCAGUGGGGAAUAUUGCACAAUGGGGGAAACCCUGAUGCAGCGACGCCGCGUGAGCGAUGAAGUAUUUCGGUAUGUAAAGCUCUAUCAGCAGGGAAGAAAAUGACGGUACCUGACUAAGAAGCACCGGCUAAACACGUG